rnacentral:lncRNA from 1 species
UCCAGUUACCAUCACAAUAAAUCUGCCUUUGCCUGAGAUACUUCUUAAAACUGAAGAUGCCUCGUAUUUACCUCAAUCACUAAAUUAGAAGGUGCGCAGGUGGGCUCAGGAAUCUCCAUGUCAGCACAUGCAUCUCUGAGGACCACUGCUCCAGAUAAUAAUAAAGUACUUGAAGUCAAGAAUCAUCUUAUUCACCUAUGUCAUUCCCUUUGCAUAUACAGUUAGAACCAUGUCCUGAAUGUAUUGGGCCCUCAAGAAACAGUGGAAUAAACUGCAAUAAAAGCAUCUAAUUUGGAAAACUGUG